rnacentral:rRNA from 1 species
CUACAGGACGCUGCAGUGGGGAAUAUUGGACAAUGGGGGAAACCCUGAUCCAGCAAUGCCGCGUGUGUGAAGAAGGCCUGCGGGUUGUAAAGCACUUUCGGUUGGGAGGACUGCUUCUAGCACUAAUAUUGUUGGAAGUUGACGUUACCUUCAGAAGAAGCACCGGCUAACUCCGUGCCAGCAGCCGCGGUAAUACGGAGGGUGCAGCGUUAAUCAGAAUUACUGGGCGUAAGGCGCGCGUAGGCGGCUAGAUCAGUCGGGUGUGAAAGCCCCGGGCUUAACCUGGGAACUGCAUCCGAUACUGUCUGUCUUGAGUCCAGGAGAGGAGAGUGGAAUUCCACAUGUAGCGGUGAAAUGCGUAGAUAUGUGGAGGAACACCAAUGGCGAAGGCAGCUCUCUGGCCUGAUACUGACGCUGAGGUGCGAAAGCGUGGGGAGCAAACAGGAUUAGAUACCCGUGUAGUC